UGGACGAAGAGUGACGCUCAGGUGCGAAAGUGUGGGGAGCAAACAGGAUUAGAUUCAGUGGUAGUCCACGCAGUAACCGAUGUCGACUUGGAGGUUGUGUCUCUGAGGCGUGGCUUCCGGAGCUAACGCGUUAAGUCGAUCGUCUGGGGAGUACGGCCGCAAGGUUAAAAAUCAAAUGAAUUGACGGGGGCCCGCACAAGCGGUGGAGCAUGUGGUCUAAUUCGAUGCAACGCGAAGAACCUUAGUAUGGUCUUGACAUCCACAGAACUUUCCAGAGAUGGAUUGGUGCGUUCGGGAACUGUGAGACAGGUGCUGCAUGGCUGUCGUCAGCUCGUGUUGUGAAGUGUUGGGUUAAGUCCCGCAACGAGCGCAACCCUUAUCCUUUGUUGCCAGCGGUCCGGCUGGGAACUCAAAGGAGACUGCCAGUGAUAAACUGGAGGAAGGUGGGGAUGACGUCAAGUCAUCAUGGCCCUUACGUCCAGGGCUACACUCGUGUUACAAUGGUGCAUACAAAGAGAAGUGACCUCGCGAGAGCAAGCGGACCUCAUAAAUUGCGUUGUAGUCCGGAUUGGAGUUUGCAACUAGACUCCAUGAAGUCGGAAUCGUUAGUAAUCGUGGAUCAGAAUUCCACGGUGAAUACGUUCCCGGGCGUCGUACACACCGCCCGUCACUCCAUGGGAGUGGGUUGCAAAAGAAGUAGGUAGCUUAACCUUCGGGAGGGCGCUUACCACUUUGUGAUUCAUGACUGGG
rnacentral:rRNA from 1 species